AUCCUGCCGGAGGCCAUUGCUAUCGGAGUCCGAUUUAGCCAUGCUAGUUGCGCGGGUUCAGCCCCGCAGCGAAAAGCUCAGUAACACGUGGCCAAGCUACCCUGUGGACGGGAAUAAUCUCGGGAAACUGAGGCUAAUCCCCGAUAACGCUUCACCCCUGGAAGGAGUGAAGCCGGAAACGCUCCGGCGCCACAGGAUGCGGCUGCGGUCGAUCAGGUAGACGGUGGGGUAACGGCCCACCGUGCCCAUAAUCGGUACGGGUUGUGAGAGCAAGAGCCCGGAGACGGAAUCUGAGACAAGAUUCCGGGCCCUACGGGGCGCAGCAGGCGCGAAACCUUUACACUGUACGCAAGUGCGAUAAGGGGACUCCGAGUGUGAAGGCAUAGAGCCUUCACUUUUGUACACCCUAAGGUGGUGCACGAAUAAGGACUGGGCAAGACCGGUGCCAGCCGCCGCGGUAAUACCGGCAGUCCGAGUGAUGGCCGAUCUUAUUGGGCCUAAAGCGUCCGUAGCUGGCUAGACAAGUCCGUUGGGAAAUCUGUCCGCUUAACGGGCAGGCGUCCAGCGGAAACUGUGUAGCUUGGGACCGGAAGACCUGAGGGGUACGUCUGGGGUAGGAGUGAAAUCCUGUAAUCCUGGACGGACCGCCGGUGGCGAAAGCGCCUCAGGAGAACGGAUCCGACAGUGAGGGACGAAAGCUAGGGUCUCAAACCGGAUUAGAUACCCGGGUAGUCCGAGCCGUAAACAAUGCUCGUUAGGUGUGGCACCCACUACGAGUGGGUGCUGUGCCGCAGGGAAGCCGCUAAACGAGCCGCCUGGGAAGUACGUCCGCAAGGAUGAAACUUAAAGGAAUUGGCGGGGGAGCACUACAACCGGAGGAGCCUGCGGUUUAAUUGGACUCAACGCCGGACAUCUCACCAGCCCCGACAUCAGUAAUGACAGUCAUGUUGACGACAUCCACUCGAGCUGAUGAGAGGAGGUGCAUGGCCGCCGUCAGCUCGUACCGUGAGGCAUCCUGUUAAGUCAGGCAACGAGCGAGAUCCACGUUCCUAAUUGCCAGCACCACCGCACGGUGGGUGGGUACAUUAGGAAGGCUGCCAGUGCUAAACUGGAGGAAGGAAUGGGCAACGGUAGGUCAGUAUGCCCCGAAUGGGCUGGGCAACACGCGGGCUACAAUGGUCAGGACAACGGGUUCCAACACUGAAAAGUGACGGCAAUCUCGCAAACCUGGUCGUAGUUCGGAUUGCGGACUGAAACUCGUCCGCAUGAAGCUGGAUUCGGUAGUAAUCGCGUGUCAGCAGCGCGCGGUGAAUACGUCCCUGCUCCUUGUACACACCGCCCGUCA
rnacentral:rRNA from 1 species